AGAGUUUGAUCCUGGCUCAGGACGAACGCUGGCGGCGUGCCUAACACAUGCAAGUCGAGCGGAGACAGUGAGUAGCUUGCUACGAGCUGUUUUAGCGGCGGACGGGUGAGUAACGCGUGAGCAACCUUUCCCAGACAGGGGAAUAACACACCGAAAGGUGUACUAAUACCGCAUAAGACCACGGGAUCACAUGGUUCUGGGGUAAAAGAAUUAUCGGUUUGGGGUGGGCUCGCGUCCGAUUAGGUAGUUGGUGAGGUAACGGCCCACCAAGCCGACGAUCGGUAGCCGACCUGAGAGGGUGAUCGGCCACAUUGGGACUGAGACACGGCCCAAACUCCUACGGGAGGCAGCAGUGGGGAAUAUUGGGCAAUGGAGGAAACUCUGACCCAGCAACGCCGCGUGGAGGAAGAAGGUUUUCGGAUCGUAAACUCCUGUCCUUGGAGACGAGUAGAAGACGGUAUCCAAGGAGGAAGCCCCGGCUAACUACGUGCCAGCAGCCGCGGUAAUACGUAGGGGGCAAGCGUUGUCCGGAAUAAUUGGGCGUAAAGGGCGCGUAGGCGGCUCGGUAAGUCUGGAGUGAAAGUCCUGCUUUUAAGGUGGGAAUUGCUUUGGAUACUGUCGGGCUUGAGUGCAGGAGAGGUUAGUGGAAUUCCCAGUGUAGCGGUGAAAUGCGUAGAGAUUGGGAGGAACACCAGUGGCGAAGGCGACUAACUGGACUGUAACUGACGCUGAGGCGCGAAAGUGUGGGGAGCAAACAGGAUUAGAUACCCUGGUAGUCCACACUGUAAACGAUGAAUGCUAGGUGUAGGGGGUAUCGACCCCUUCUGUGCCGCAGUCAACACAAUAAGCAUUCCGCCUGGGGAGUACGGCCGCAAGGUUGAAACUCAAAGGAAUUGACGGGGGCCCGCACAAGCAGCGGAGCAUGUGGUUUAAUUCGACGCAACGCGAAGAACCUUACCAGGU
rnacentral:rRNA from 1 species